rnacentral:rRNA from 1 species
GGACGAACGCUGGCGGCGUGCCUAAUACAUGCAAGUCGAGCGGACAGAUGGGAGCUUGCUCCCUGAUGUUAGCGGCGGACGGGUGAGUAACACGUGGGUAACCUGCCUGUAAGACUGGGAUAACUCCGGGAAACCGGGGCUAAUACCGGAUGCUUGUUUGAACCGCAUGGUUCAGACAUAAAAGGUGGCUUCGGCUACCACUUACAGAUGGACCCGCGGCGCAUUAGCUAGUUGGUGAGGUAACGGCUCACCAAGGCGACGAUGCGUAGCCGACCUGAGAGGGUGAUCGGCCACACUGGGACUGAGACACGGCCCAGACUCCUACGGGAGGCAGCAGUAGGGAAUCUUCCGCAAUGGACGAAAGUCUGACGGAGCAACGCCGCGUGAGUGAUGAAGGUUUUCGGAUCGUAAAGCUCUGUUGUUAGGGAAGAACAAGUGCCGUUCAAAUAGGGCGGCACCUUGACGGUACCUAACCAGAAAGCCACGGCUAACUACGUGCCAGCAGCCGCGGUAAUACGUAGGUGGCAAGCGUUGUCCGGAAUUAUUGGGCGUAAAGGGCUCGCAGGCGGUUUCUUAAGUCUGAUGUGAAAGCCCCCGGCUCAACCGGGGAGGGUCAUUGGAAACUGGGGAACUUGAGUGCAGAAGAGGAGAGUGGAAUUCCACGUGUAGCGGUGAAAUGCGUAGAGAUGUGGAGGAACACCAGUGGCGAAGGCGACUCUCUGGUCUGUAACUGACGCUGAGGAGCGAAAGCGUGGGGAGCGAACAGGAUUAGAUACCCUGGUAGUCCACGCCGUAAACGAUGAGUGCUAAGUGUUAGGGGGUUUCCGCCCCUUAGUGCUGCAGCUAACGCAUUAAGCACUCCGCCUGGGGAGUACGGUCGCAAGACUGAAACUCAAAGGAAUUGACGGGGGCCCGCACAAGCGGUGGAGCAUGUGGUUUAAUUCGAAGCAACGCGAAGAACCUUACCAGGUCUUGACAUCCUCUGACAAUCCUAGAGAUAGGACGUCCCCUUCGGGGGCAGAGUGACAGGUGGUGCAUGGUUGUCGUCAGCUCGUGUCGUGAGAUGUUGGGUUAAGUCCCGCAACGAGCGCAACCCUUGAUCUUAGUUGCCAGCAUUCAGUUGGGCACUCUAAGGUGACUGCCGGUGACAAACCGGAGGAAGGUGGGGAUGACGUCAAAUCAUCAUGCCCCUUAUGACCUGGGCUACACACGUGCUACAAUGGGCAGAACAAAGGGCAGCGAAACCGCGAGGUUAAGCCAAUCCCACAAAUCUGUUCUCAGUUCGGAUCGCAGUCUGCAACUCGACUGCGUGAAGCUGGAAUCGCUAGUAAUCGCGGAUCAGCAUGCCGCGGUGAAUACGUUCCC